AGCCUUAUAGUCAAAAUAUGAUAUUAGACUGCAAUUCUAGGGUAGUAGUAUAAUACUACUAAGGCUU
rnacentral:tRNA from 2 species